GGGGAUACACGGUACUGCAUCUUGCUCCUACACGAGACGUGUCCCAAACAAUGCACCUGUUGGCCCUGGCUGUGAACUAGUUUGUAGGAUCUGUGAAAGUCCGUUUUCAGGCACCUGUUGUGGUCUAGAUGAAGGCCGUGCUAUUCUCAAAGAGUGCAUAAUUUGUGGGGCGUACGGUGACCACUGGCCUAGAUGGUGCCCACGCAACAAUCGAGUCGACAAGAAACUUUUGGACCUUCCUCCUGGUGUCUUUUACGUGGAUUUCUCACGCGGCGCUAGUGCUCCUGGCAUGCUCCUUAUUCUUGUUUUAAGAUUUAUGAGGAAGCCAUUCUUUGUUACGUUGCUUAGAGAUAGCUUCUCCUGCCAGACCAGAUAUUUGUUGAUGGGAUUAGAUUUCAUUGCAUUUGUAACUUCAUUUAUCUAUAUGUUCCAUCAAAGUUGCUUUUUCUUCUCAUGACAUUCUGUUCAUAUAUUUGAUAUUAUUCAAUGGUAUUACUUCAAAUAUCCAAAUAUCACCUCGCGGGUCAAGAAGAACCCACCCACCCAUAUCUCUCUUGGCUCUAUCCUCCCCAACUGCGAAGCUUCAAACCAACCAAAACCCAGAAGAUGGUUUUGACAUCCAUCGAUCUCCUUUUUCGAUCAAGCCAUGAUGGAUUGCAAAACCAGACAUUUAGGAUCAUGCCUCUCUUUAAGUUCAGGGUCCUCUCUCUGUUGCCUUUUAAUUUCCUAUUUCAAAAUCUUGGGUAUUCUUAUAAAAAUUUAGGGAUUCAGAGUGAAUGGACUUGAAAUUGGAGAGAAAUAGAUAAAAUUUUGAGGUAAGCGUAGAAUGCCCAGAAAGGUGGAUUUGGAUCAGUGAUUGCAUGUUAGGAGUAAAUAUCAAAUUCUGAUCUUUAGUAUCAAAAACAAGGUCUAUGAUGAGUCUUGAGAUCUCAGUUGCUCACUUCGAUGUCUUCCUUCGAAGAUGAGAUUCAAUGGUGAGAUGACAAGAUUCAACAGAAAGAAUCAUGCGGGUUGAUUCAAGAUGCCAGCUUCAAGCAGUGAUGGAUAGAGGAGAUCAUUUUAUUAUUACAAAAAGAAAAUCCCUUUUUCACUGCUGGAUGGUUGCCAUGCAUUUUCAUUUGAAUAAUUGAUUCCAGCUUCUUAUUGUUCAGGAAAAGUUGAACAGAAGGAGCCUGCAAAGCCAGCUUCAGUUAAGACUAAUGCUGUCAAAGACGAUGACCCAGAGCAGGUUGACAUGAUCCGACUGGAUACAAAACAGAUGCCAAAAAUGCAAAGCCUCUGCAACCACUCAUCUAUUGUAACAUGAACCUUCAUGCACUGAAGCAGAGUUUGGAUCAAUUAGAUGCAACAAAAUUUUCCUAGCUUUUCUAAACUUUGCAAACUUUAUCAGAAUAAUAUUCAUUCUUGAUAUAAGUCCAGUGCCUGCGUUACUUUCUCGAUGUACAACUUCCGGUGCAAUCUAUACCUGCACAAGUCCAGACCAACAAUUAAAUCUUCAACGCAGUAUUAAGACAGAGCUAUG